UCUGACCCUAGAGGAGUUGCAGGUGUGGCUGCUGUGUCACAUAUGCACCAGUAGGUGGCAGAGAGGAGAGAGGCUAUAAUCUCUGCUCAGUGUUCUGACAUGUGAACAUCUGAUUAGUAGCCGAACACU